rnacentral:rRNA from 1 species
AGCGAACGCUGGCGGCAGGCCUGACACAUGCAAGUCGAACGAACUCUUCGGAGUUAGUGGCGGACGGGUGAGUAACACGUGGGAACGUGCCUUUUGGUUCGGAAUAACUCAGGGAAACUUGUGCUAAUACCGAAUGCGCCCUUCGGGGGAAAGAUUUAUCGCCAUUAGAGCGGCCCGCGUCUGAUUAGCUAGUUGGUGAGGUAACGGCUCACCAAGGCGACGAUCAGUAGCUGGUCUGAGAGGAUGACCAGCCACACUGGGACUGAGACACGGCCCAGACUCCUACGGGAGGCAGCAGUGGGGAAUCUUGCGCAAUGGGCGAAAGCCUGACGCAGCCAUGCCGCGUGAAUGAUGAAGGUCUUAGGAUUGUAAAAUUCUUUCACCGGGGACGAUAAUGACGGUACCCGGAGAAGAAGCCCCGGCUAACUUCGUG